UGCAGUCGAACGGUAGCACAGAGAGCUUGCUCUCGGGUGACGAGUGGCGGACGGGUGAGUAAUGUCUGGGAAACUGCCCGAUGGAGGGGGAUAACUACUGGAAACGGUAGCUAAUACCGCAUAACGUCUUCGGACCAAAGUGGGGGACCUUCGGGCCUCACACCAUCGGAUGUGCCCAGAUGGGAUUAGCUGGUAGGUGAGGUAACGGCUCACCUAGGCGACGAUCCCUAGCUGGUCUGAGAGGAUGACCAGCCACACUGGAACUGAGACACGGUCCAGACUCCUACGGGAGGCAGCAGUGGGGAAUAUUGCACAAUGGGCGCAAGCCUGAUGCAGCCAUGCCGCGUGUAUGAAGAAGGCCUUCGGGUUGUAAAGUACUUUCAGCGGGGAGGAAGGCGAUGCGGUUAAUAACCGCGUCGAUNGACGUUACCCGCAGAAGAAGCACCGGCUAACUCCGUGCCAGCAGCCGCGGUAAUACGGAGGGUGCAAGCGUUAAUCGGAAUUACUGGGCGUAAAGCGCACGCAGGCGGUCUGUCAAGUCGGAUGUGAAAUCCCCGGGCUUAACCUGGGAACUGCAUUCGAAACUGGCAGGCUUGAGUCUCGUAGAGGGGGGUAGAAUUCCAGGUGUAGCGGUGAAAUGCGUAGAGAUCUGGAGGAAUACCGGUGGCGAAGGCGGCCCCCUGGACGAAGACUGACGCUCAGGUGCGAAAGCGUGGGGAGCAAACAGGAUUAGAUACCCUGGUAGUCCACGCUGUAAACGAUGUCGACUUGGAGGUUGUGCCCUUGAGGCGUGGCUUCCGGAGCUAACGCGUUAAGUCGACCGCCUGGGGAGUACGGCCGCAAGGUUAAAACUCAAAUGAAUUGACGGGGGCCCGCACAAGCGGUGGAGCAUGUGGUUUAAUUCGAUGCAACGCGAAGAACCUUACCUGGCCUUGACAUCCACAGAAGUUUGCAGAGAUGCGAAUGUGCCUUCGGGAACUGUGAGACAGGUGCUGCAUGGCUGUCGUCAGCUCGUGUUGUGAAAUGUUGGGUUAAGUCCCGCAACGAGCGCAACCCUUAUCCUUUGUUGCCAG
rnacentral:rRNA from 1 species